AACACAAUGUGGCUAAUAACAGUAGCGCAAUAAUAGUAGGGUCCCCUAAUGAAGAACAAAUGAGUAAAAGUAACACUUCGCAAAAAAGUGGUAAGUUAAGCAUUACCACCAGGGGAAGUAACGACGGUAGUGAACAUAGUGAAAGUGACAAACAUGAAGAGUUUGGCUUUACAAACAAAAUUCUGCUCAAUUCGAAUAACACCGAAGGUAAUAAUAACGAUAGCAAUGUUGUGUCUGUUUGUUCUAAAAACAACCAAUCAAACCAUUUGAAAACAAACAAUGAUUACAUAAAUUUGUGUAUGUUUAAUGAUGAAUUAUUAAAUCAGAAUUUGACAGAUAAUAAUUUUGUGAUUGGUUCAAAUGAUAAGUCGAAUUAUUUAUAUGAUUCUUUAUUGUUACAAGAAGUGAAUACGAAAAAAAAUGCAAGCGUAUCUACUAGUAUGAAUUCGAGCAAAUUUAAUGCUCUUUUUAGUAAUAAUUAUGUAAGUAAUAAUAUGGACAUGCCUAGGUACACAUCUCCCUCUCAAAACUUAUUUAAAGAAAGUACAAAUAAACAAGAAAAUUUAUUUUGGUAUUAUUCCCCGGGUAUUAUUAAUAGGGUUUAUGCAGAGUGGUUAAAAUGUAAAAACAUUGACUAUUCAAAAUUUAACAAUGAUUUUUAUUAUAUGUUUUUGAAAUCGAAUGAACUUCAAGAAUUUUUAAAAAGUAAUUGUAGUCAUUUAGAAAAACAGGAAGAUGUCAAAUUGUUUGAUAUUAACCAAGUGUUAGGUAGUAACGCCACGGACCUUGUCAAUGUAAGCACUGUUGACAAUACUCGUAACUGCAAAAGUGGAUACAGUAAAGAAUGUAGUAAAGGAUGUAAUAACGAAAGAAAUGUACUAACGAAAAUGGUAAAUGCCUGUUCCGCCUUGGACCGUAGUAAUUUAAUAUCAAAUGAUAUACCUACUAAUAAUUCUAUAAAUGGUGUUAUUGGUAAUUUUUUGAAAAAUGUUAAUACUCGUAAUGAUACAUCCAGUAAUAAUAGUACUAUUAAUGUAGACGUGUGCUGUUUUAUAAAUACAUUAAAAG
rnacentral:lncRNA from 1 species